GGCGAACGGGUGAGUAACACGUGGGUGAUCUGCCCUGCACUUCGGGAUAAGCUUGGGAAACUGGGUCUAAUACCGGAUAGGAGCCAUCUUUAGUGUGGUGGUUGGAAAGUUUUUUCUUGUGUAGGAUGAGCUCGCGGCCUAUCAGCUUGUUGGUGGGGUAAUGGCCUACCAAGGCGGCGACGGGUAGCCGGCCUGAGAGGGUGUACGGCCACAUUGGGACUGAGAUACGGCCCAG
rnacentral:rRNA from 1 species